rnacentral:rRNA from 1 species
UACAGAGGGUGCAAGCGUUAAUCGGAAUUACUGGGCGUAAAGCGUGCGUAGACGGUUGCGUAAGUCAGAUGUGAAAGCCCCGGGCUCAACCUGGGAAUUGCAUUUGAGACUGCGUAGCUAGGGCGCGGAAGAGGGAAGCGGAAUUUCCGGUGUAGCGGUGAAAUGCGUAGAUAUCGGAAGGAACACCAGUGGCGAAGGCGGCGUUCUGGACUGCUACUGACACUGAGGAACGAAAGCCAGGGGAGCAAACGGG